CGUAGGUGGCAAGCGUUGUCCGGAUUUAUUGGGUUUAAAGGGUGCGUAGGCGGCCCUGUAAGUCAGUGGUGAAAUAUCUUAGCUUAACUGAGAGGGUGCCAUUGAUACUGCGGGGCUUGAGUACAGAUGAGGUAGGCGGAAUUGACGGUGUAGCGGUGAAAUGCAUAGAUAUCGUCAAGAACACCGAUAGCGAAGGCAGCUUACCAAGCUGUAACUGACGCUGAGGCACGAAAGUGUGGGGAUCAAACAGGAUUAGAUACCCUGGUAGUCCACACUGUAAACGUUGAUGACUCGAUGUUGGCGAUACACAGCCAGCGUCCAAGAGCAAUCGUUAAGUCAUCCACCUGGGGAGUACGCCGGCAACGGUG
rnacentral:rRNA from 1 species